AGAGAACAGCCCCCUCUACAAAUACCCGACUGACACCGGCAGCAACGCCUACCUCAAUGUGAUCUGUACCUUCCUGAAGAAUGGAGCUACUGAAGUAUGGGAGGCUUCUGAGGAUGUUCCCUAUGCCUACAAAGGAAAUGAGUGGCUUGGAUACGAUAACACCAAGAGUUUCCAAAUCAAGGCAGAUUGGCUAAAGAAGAACAACUUUGGAGGUGCCAUGGUCUGGGCCAUUGACCUGGAUGAUUUCACAGGCACUUUCUGCAACCAAGGAAAAUUCCCUCUGAUCACCACCCUGAAGGAUGCUCUGGGCCUGCAGAGUACAAGUUGCAAAGCUCCAGCCCAACCCAUUGCUCCCAUUGCCGAGGCAAACAUCACAUGCGGUGUCAGCCACAGUCGUAGCUCUGGGGGCCGCUCUGGCAGGAGCUCUGGGGGCAGCCCCAGAGGUAGUGGAUUCUGUGCUGACAGGGCCAGUGGCCUGUACCCUGACCCCACUGACAAGAAUGCCUCCUACAGUUGUGUGAAUGGAAAGACUUUCACUCAGCACUGCCAGCCUGGUGGUGUCUUUGAUACCUUCUGCUCCUGCUGCAGCUGGUGAUAACAUUUUUCAGAUAUCACCUCACCCAGCCUCAGAAGUUGUUGUGCAAUAAAAGGUUGAGCAUUACUGUACAA
ensembl:lncRNA CHIAP2 chitinase, acidic pseudogene 2